GUAGAGAAUGAGUAUCUCGAUAGCCCCAGUAAGCCACAGACUCCUGACCCCCUCUCGUAGGAGGCUCCUCAGAUUGGGCUUGUGGUCUCCAAGGGUAAAGGUGGGGACAGCUGGCAUCCACUGGGAGAACCCACCCUGUGAAUCAUCUGAGGGGGUCUCCCCAGGGUCUUUUGAAGUCAGCUAUGAGACCUCCAUUUUAUAGGUCAGGGCCCCUCAGGGGCUGCCCAACACUCAUGGCUGGAGAGUGGGGGACCAGGGAUAGAAGUAGGAUCACCACCUUCAGGGCCUCUGCACAUUGGACUCAACUGCCCUUAUGGGGACACUGACUUCCCAGGGGGCACUGGGGCACUGGGUCUCCACUGUCAGGACUAGCUCUACUUAGGGCACAAGCCAAGGCAGGACCUGGUGCCCCAGCCCAGCCUAAGUAAGUGAUGGAAGUGAGACCUAAACCCAAGCCAGCUCCCAGCUGGCAACUAACAUGGGGACUACCACCACCACCCCCCUUGCCCAUCCCAUCACCCAGGGACAGAACAAGUGACCACACCAGGAUGCUUCUCUCUCGGAGAGAUGCUAACCUGGAAUAUGGGCAUCAUCUGGGCCUCUCCUGGGUAGAUGGGCCCCCUUCUCAAGUGAUGACUGCUGUUGGAGGAACAGGGACAAGGCACAGCUUCUACUGUGCGUGCCUGCCGGGGCAUAAACGCGGAGUCCAUCCAUGUCCUCUCCGCACUACAGGGAGGACACAGACGAGGCCCUGAUCACUCAGGAGGAAACCGUUCACCUGGGAUAAUGGGAUGCAGUGGCUACGGGUGGCCAGUGGGGACUUGAACCCAUGCAGUCCGGUUCUGCCCAGUUGCCCAGCGCACACUAGGGCUGCUGGGAGAGGUGCUCCUGUUCUGGGAAUGCAGAUUCUCCCUGAGCUGAAGUUCAGAGAAAGAAAAGGAAGGAAAACGGAAAAUUUUCUUCCCUCCCAUCCCCUCCUGGUCCCGCUUUCUCUGUCUGUCUUCCUGUUCUUUCAAUGUCUUCCUCCCUUUCUUUUCUUUUUCUGCCUGCCUGUCUUUCUCUCUGUCUCUCUCUCUCUCUCCUCUUUUCUGCCUCUACUUGUCUGUUUUUCUUUCCCUUCUCCUCUCUGUCUCUGUCCCUUCCUCCCUCCCUCUUUUCCUUCUCUUCUCUCUCCUCCCACACCCUGGGGCGGGGGAUGGAGGUGGGGGCUGUACUCGUGCUCUGACUCUGCCCGCUAUGGGGACCUGACCUUUUCUGCACUGAGGGGAAGGAAUGGGGUAAUUAGCUUAUAUAAUCCCCGGCCUGCCUGCUGUUUGCUGUGGAUGUGGACAAACUCCAUGAAAAUGUGGCUGCUGCUGUGGGAUCCCUUCAAAGGGUUGGAAUCCACAAGGAAGGAGCUUCUUGGUUUCGAACUCUCCUCUCCCCGUGCUGUGAAGAGCAGUUUUCCGGAGGCUUGGAAAGAUAAGCAGGUCUCCCGGGUAGGGACCGCCGGCGGACUGACGACCAGGCGACCCGGUGGGCACCGUGGAUGAUCGAGAUCUACCGCGCGCGGCAAACCGGUGCCUCAAGGGCCUGUCCUGGCCCUGCACUGUGUUGAAUUUCACCCGUGCAGUGGGUAAAAUAUAUUCCAAUAUGCGUAUCAGAAACUGGGAAAAAUAUGUAAAAGAAUAAUUUCACGCACUUAAUCCAGAGUUGACAACUUAGUAAACCUCCAGUCAUGUUUUUUGAGGUGAAAUUAACAUGACAUAAAAUUAGCCAUUUUAGAGUGCCUGAUUCAAGGUUCUUCAGUGCGCUUACAAUGUUGUGCAGCCUUCGCCUCUAUCUCUCCGUCUAGCUCCUGGCCGCUUCCCAGCCCCUGACAACCGUGAAUCUGCUUUCUGUUCCUAAGGGUUGAUUCCUUCUGGGUUUAUAUCAACUGCACCAUGCAACAGGUGGCCCUUUGUGUUUUCUGGCCUCUUUUCCGAGCUUGGCCACUUUUUAGCGUGUAUCACGACUUCAUUCCUUUUAGUGGCUUCCA
ensembl:lincRNA